rnacentral:rRNA from 1 species
AACGAACGCUGGCGGCAUGCCUAACACAUGCAAGUCGAACGAGACCUUCGGGUCUAGUGGCGCACGGGUGCGUAACGGGUGGGAACCUGCCCUUAGGUUCGGAAUAACUGCCCGAAAGGGGGGGUAAUACCGGAUAAUGUCUUGGGACCAAAGAUUUAUCGACUUUGGAUGGGCCCGCGUUGGAUUAGCUAGUUGGUAGGGUAAAAGCCUACCAAGGCGACGAUCCAUAGCUGGUCUGAGAGGAUGAUCAGCCACACUGGGACUGAGACACGGCCCAGACUCCUACGGGAGGCAGCAGUGGGGAAUAUUGGACAAUGGGCGAAAGCCUGAUCCAGCAAUGCCGCGUGAGUGAUGAAGGCCUUAGGGUUGUAAAGCUCUUUUACCCGGGAUGAUAAUGACAGUACCGGGAGAAUAAGCUCCGGCUAACUCCGUG